UCGUAACAAGGUUUCCGUAGGUGAACCUGCGGAAGGAUCAUUACCGAGUGAGGGCCCUCUGGGUCCAACCUCCCACCCGUGUUUAUUUUACCUUGUUGCUUGGGCGGGCCCGCCUUAACUGGCCGCCGGGGGGCUUACGCCCCCGGGCCCGCGCCCGCCGAAGACACCCUCGAACUCUGUCUGAAGAUUGUAGUCUGAGUGAAAAUAUAAAUUAUUUAAAACUUUCAACAACGGAUCUCUUGGUUCCGGCAUCGAUGAAGAACGCAGCGAAAUGCGAUACGUAAUGUGAAUUGCAAAUUCAGUGAAUCAUCGAGUCUUUGAACGCACAUUGCGCCCCCUGGUAUUCCGGGGGGCAUGCCUGUCCGAGCGUCAUUGCUGCCCUCAAGCACGGCUUGUGUGUUGGGCCCCGUCCUCCGAUCCCGGGGGACGGGCCCGAAAGGCAGCGGCGGCACCGCGUCCGGUCCUCGAGCGUAUGGGGCUUUGUCACCCGCUCUGUAGGCCCGGCCGGCGCUUGCCGAUCAACCCAAAUUUUUAUCCAGGUUGACCUCGGAUCAGGUAGGGAUACCCGCUGAACUUAAGCAUAUCAAUAA
rnacentral:misc_RNA from 1 species